rnacentral:rRNA from 1 species
GACGAACGCUGGCGGCGGGCUUAACACAUGCAAGUCGAACGGAAAGGCCCUGCUUUUGUGGGGUGCUCGAGUGGCGAACGGGUGAGUAACACGGGAGUAACCUGCCCUUGAGUUUGGGAUAACUUCAGGAAACUGGGGCUAAUACCGGAUAGUAGCUCGUGCUGCAUGGUGGGGGUUGGAAAGUUUCGGCGGUUGGGGAUGGACUCGCGGCUUAUCAGCUUGUUGGUGGGGUAGUGGCUUACCAAGGCUUUGACGGGUAGCCGGCCUGAGAGGGUGACCGGCCACAUUGGGACUGAGAUACGGCCCAGACUCCUACGGGAGGCAGCAGUGGGGAAUAUUGCACAAUGGGCGGAAGCCUGAUGCAGCAACGCCGCGUGCGGGAUGACAGCCUUCGGGUUGUAAACCGCUUUCGCCUGUGACGAAGCGUGAGUGACGGUAAUGGGUAAAGAAGCACCGGCUAACUACGUG